rnacentral:lncRNA from 1 species
UUUCAUAUUUGAUCAUACAGAUGGUAAGGUCUCCAAUGUGCCAAUGAGGCAUGCGUCUGACGACUCAGCCAAAUAUGGAUUAAACGAGGCAUCCAUGUAUUGUAGCAAAUAAGGAGCGGAGAUGCAAGCUAGAGAAUGCAGCAGUGGGUGUUGAGGAUAGAACGGUUAAAGGCCAAAAUCAGUUACCAGCAGGGGCGGAUCUACAGUGUUAGGUUCGGGGGCUAUAUUAUUUAAAAACCAUUGGAAUAGCUGACUAUGGUAGAUUAGUUGGUAAAGUUGCCCCUGGUAAAAUCCUGCUCUUCACGGAUUCGAAUCAACACAUAAGUGUUUCAUUAUGGGACACAUUUUGCACUUCUUAACAGUUUAAGGUACAUGUUGUUGGAAGGACACUUUUUUCAUGAUUUGAUAAAUUUCGGACCAAAUUAUCCUUCACUGGUAGAACCGAAAUAUGAAGCUUAUUAGAGUUUUUUUUUUUAAUUAUGUCUAGUUAGUGGGGACCAAAGUGUUAUUAGAUUUCAUUUCCUAUUUUAUUUUUAUUUUCUCAGAUUUUAAGAUACACAUAAAAUAUAAUUGUUACAAUAAAUUGUAAUUUCUUUUUCUUGAUAUUUUAAGAUAUAUUUUCAUAUAUAUAUUUUAUAUAUUUUUAAAAUUAUAUAAAAAUACAUGGAUAUAAAAAUUGUGGACGAAAAAUGUUGUCCAAGAACUAAAAAUGUUACAAAGAAAUAAGAUGAAAGAAACAUACACAACAAUUAAAAUGUUAUCCAAGAACUAAAAAUGUUACAAAGAAGUUAGAUGAAAGAGGCACACACAAGAUGAAGAUAUAUGUGUGUGAAUAUAGACAAAAGUAUUGUGGACAGACGAGUGUAGACGUCGGGGUUGUGGACAAAAAUAAACAGAAAACAUGUGGAUGUGGAUGGCUGUGAGUUCUGCCCAUGAGUUUUACCAGCAUACCUCAGAGAACCAUUUUCCAAUUCCAAAUCACCGACUUUCAAACCUAUGCAAAUCACCAUCUUUCAAGCCCUAAUCUCAAUUAUAUCUUGGAAUGAUACCAAUCUCUCUCCAAAUACAGAUUCACCAUGUAAAUUUCUAUUAUCCGCCACCACCACUGUAUUUACCCCGUUCUUUACCCUAAACUUUGUCUUGUAUCCAAAAGUUCUUCCAGUUUCCUCUUUGCGAAAUUGCGGCCAUACAGCACCAGUUUUUUACUUUGAUUUUGCCAUGCUUUGAAAUAGUGAGAAAGAGGCGAGAAUAAUCGUCGAAGAAUAUCAGAAAAUUGAACAACCAAACUCAUGGAAAAGAAAUGAAAAGAUGGAGAUGAGAUUACAGAUUCAUAAUCGGCGGAGCAACCGAUUCUUGGUGUUAUACGAGAAACUGAGGAUGAAGAAGAAGAGGGUUCGAGGAGAUUAGAGUUAGAAAUUGGUGUUUGAGAAAUUUGGGAAAGCAAAUCUGAACUUUGAAAUAAAGUUGGAGAGAUAGUAUAUGUUAGUUUUCGAGAAGUAUAAAACUGGUUUAUACAUUUCUUUUUUUUUAAUUAUUUUUAAUUGAUAAUAGUUGAAAAAAGACAUUUUAGUUAGAAGAUAUAUGAUUAGAAAAGAAUGUAGUUAGUUUAGGGACAUAAAUGACAUUGCACAAAGAGGAAAUGUUGUUCCAACAAAAAGUGUUUUUUUGUGCAAUUUGAAAGAUAAAAAGUGUGCCAAGAGUAAAAAAUUCUUUUAUUAUUGAGAAGUUAACAUUAAAGGACACUUUAUGACUUUCGUUUGCAGUAGAAGAUACAUUGUGGUAGUAGGACAUAAUGUUGGGACAGCUGUAUUAAUCUGGACCAAAAAGACCUUACACUUGUGAUAGAAAGAGAAUGUCUCCUUUAAAGAAUCAACCGUAAAGAAACCAAAUUACUUUCGGAUUGUAAUAAAUGAAAAAGUUUCGAAAUUAAAAGUAGGUAUGGGUUUAUGGGAUUCUUUUGGGACGUUGGAUUAGCUUUUAGUUACAAGAUCUAAUGACUGAGAAACACUUAUCAGUUUUAGUCUUAAGAUUUAAUGGCUGAGGACAAAUCCAUGGAUGUGGAUAUAGGUUUGUAGAUAGAUAAAUGUUAAGAGAAUGGGUUAUAGACGAGAAUAAGGAAACAAAAAGAUAUUUAAUUUGACUUUAUUUUUUUAAGUAUUUUAGUUUCGCUCAAUAGUUUUUCUUUGUUAUUAUCUCGUAUUAUGAUAUGUAAAUUUAAUAUAUAAUAUAUGUAGUAAAUUAUAUUUUUUUUUCUUCUAUGUUUUGAGAUCCAUAUGUAUAUAUUAAUUUUGAUAUUUUACUUUUUAUAAAAUUUAAAAUUGAAUUAAGUGGACACAUCAUUGUGGACAUUGUGUUGUGGACAAUGUGUUGUGGACAAUGUGUUGUGGAUGGUGCAAUUUUAACAUAUUCAUAUUUUAAUUUUUAUAAAAUAUAAAACUGAUUUAAGUGGACACACUAUCAUGGACAAUGUAUUGUGGACAAUGCAAUUUGAGAUAAUGUAUUGUGACGACAAUGCAAUUUGAAAGAAUGUAUUGUGACAGUGCAGUUGAAAAGAAUGAGUGAUGGACAGUGCUAGUUAUGAAUGGUGUGUAUGUGGAAGUGUAUGUGCAGUUUGAAAGAAUGAGUUAUGGACGGUGCUAGUUAUGGAUGGUGUGUAUGUGGAAGUGUACGUUGAUUCGUAUAGGUGAUGACCAUGAUCUACUAAAACAACUAACCAUUUAGAACAAUAACAUUGAAAAUAAAGACACACACUGAUAUAGUUCUUUUAAAAGAGAAGAACAACAAAUAAUCAUUUAUGACAACAUGCUCAAAACAGCUUAACAUUGAUGAAGUAAUUCUUGAUACAACAAAACAUAUAUUGAUGAAAAUUUUCCAAGUCUAGGUGUGUGCACCUAUCUUUGAUUCCUCACCACUUCACAAUUUGUCUGACCACUGCUCGUCACCCAACCACAUAACCCCCAUCCACACAUCGCCCGAACACACACUAUGCAACAACUCCACUCCUGACCACACAUCAUCCGUCCACCUAACCUCUGACCAGGAAAUAACAUUGAAAAUAAAGACACACAGUGAUAUAGUUUCUUUAAAAGAGAAGAUCAACAAAUAAUCAUUUAUGACAACAUGCUCAAAACAACUUAACACUGAUGAAAUAGUUCUUGAUACAACAAAACAUAUAUUGAUGAAAUUUUUCCAAGUCUAGGUGUGUGGACAAGAGAGAUGUGGAGUUGUGUGGUCAGGAGUGGAGUUGUUGUGAAGUGUGUGUUCGGGCGAUGUGUAGAUGGGGGUUAUGUGGUUGGGCGACGAGCAGUGGUCAGACAAAAUGUGAAGUGGUGAGGAAUCAAGGAUAGGUGCUGCGGACGGUAUGUUCUGAUCACUGCUGAGAGGGGCAUAUUGCUGGAGCUCAUAUUGGCUGACUACAGGAAAUUGAGAACCGACAUAGACGUAUUUCCUCAUCUGGACAUCAUGUGAAUGUAACAGCAUAAGAGCGAAUUACAUAAACUUGUUCAUGUGACUACGUAGAGGCUUACACAAUAUGAAGAUAUAUGUGUGUGGAUAUAGACAAAAGUGUUGUGGACAAAUGAAGUUGUACGAGUUUCGUGGACCCAAUAAUCUUGAAUAAAGAUUGUUGAAAGACAAUGUGCAAUAAGACUUGUUUUUACAACUUUUUCCAAUCAUAUAGUUCGCUGUCUUGUCUCUGAUUUAAAACAGAAAGAAGUAUAUACAAGGUUAUUAAUCCUACAAAAAGUUUCGUGGGCAACUUCUUGUGGACGAGUUCUUUUUCAAUUUCCAGCUCUCCGACAUCCAUUUCAAUGCACCAUGAGAAGAAACAGAGUCUUUGAGUGAAACGGUGUUUCUGGAUGGCUCCGCCGUGUGAACUGCCAUGACGAGGUUAACGGACUUAGAUUUGACAGAGUGAUGAACAGUGAAGGAGGAUUGACGGUUGACGUGACGGUGAGAAAGGCCGCCGUAGAGAGAUCUAGUGGAGAGAGAGGAGGCGUUGGAAAGCUAUUGAUUUUUUUUCUCUGAGUUUGAUUUGAUUUUUAGAAAGAAAAUGAUAUGAAGACGAUUGAUGAAAGAAGAACAAUUUAUAAUUAUAAGAAGAGAUACAGAUGAUUUGACCGAAAAAAAGAGAUACAGAUGAAGACAAUUAAUGAAAGAAGAACAAUUUAUAAUUAUAUAGAGAAAUACAAUAGUUGGUUCGUGUCUUUUAAGAAUUUUUUUUCAGAUAAAUCUGUAAUAAAACGAAAAACCCAUAAAUCUGUCAAAAAAGUUAGAAGUCAGUCAGGUACAUUGUUUAGUUGAAAUAUAUAAGUUAGCUUUAGAAAGUUAAGUUGGAAGGUAUAAUAGACAAAGAAUAAGAUGAAAGUGUGUCUUAUGUGGGAAAUGACUCCAUGUAAUUGAUAAGUAAAAAAAUGUCUCUAAGUGUAAUUUUCUCUUUAUUAUUUUGUUUGGCAUGUCUAAUCUUGUUUUUAUUUCCCUCUCAAUGUACAAUUUAUUUGAUGUUUGACACGUCUACUCUUAUCGUAUCUUUCUUUACAGUUAUAACUAUAGCAUUUUCCCUACUUCAUCCUUUGUAUUUUUGUUUUCAUAGUUUUCUAUUAUUUUUUAUAUAUUUAUUUCGAUUGCAAGUGCUUACACCACAUUUAAAUACUUUUUUAUCCACAUCUUAAGUACUUUUUUAAUAUUAAACAUUCACAAUUGUUCGUAAAUAAAACCAACCAUUUAAAAUAAUAAAUGAUCUAUUCAUUUUUAUUUCAUAUUUUAGAGUUUAGUUUGUAUGAUAUGAUGAAAAAACAAGUUAUGUAUGAUAUUGAUAUAUUUUUAUAUAUAUGUACACUUGAAGAAUAUUUUCUACUUAUUUUCAAGUGUAAUAGAAUUAUUGUGAUUAAUAACAUUUGCAAAGAAGUUUAAGAACUUUUAAAGUUAUUUUAUAAAAAAAAUCCUGAGUUGAAAAACUUAACGUUAAUUAUUUUCACAUUCUGUAGAUGAUUAUUGUUAUGAUUAGUAGCUUUCAAUAUUUUCAAUAGAUUAUUACUUUAUACUUUAUAAAUUAAAUAAAUAUAUUAUUAAUUAUAGGCUCCCGUCAAAUAUUUGGUCUGGAUCCGCCGUUGGUUAGCAGGAUGAAAAUAUAAACGUAGAUGAUGUUAUAACAUACAUCAAUAUCAAUUUAUGUUAGAUACCGCGGAGAUGCAAGUAGAAAGCAAGUUGUCGUGAGAAAUCCUACUAGUGAUGGGGGUAAUAAAACAAUUGUAUAUCAUCUACUCAAGUAGUCUAUAUUCUCACCAUUCAUCAUAGACUUUCUCUUUUACUUAUUACAAAUUGUGAUUUGAGAUGAUGUCUAACAAUUCACACUUUCUUAAUCUACCAUCUAGCUUUGCUGCUGUUGUGGUUGUUGUUUGUCUGAGCUACCAAAACUGCUAAUGAAUCUCAUAGCCAAAUCCAAAAUUACUGUCUUGAUGCAGUCUUUAUCUUCCUCGAGAAGGUUUCUUGGAGGGAGUGAGCUUCCUGAACCCGGCGUGUAAUAGCAUAACUACAAAGAGACACAGAGAAAGCAUUAUAGUCAUAACUGCCUGGCCAUAUAUAGAGUAGCUAAAUCGAACUUUGACCCAUCAGCUAGCUUAGUUACCUGAAUAACUGACCGCAAGAGCAGAGAAAAGAGCCAUUUGGACAUUCAAAAACGUCAGAAGUACCGCAGUCGCUGCAAGUAGGAGACGUAAAAAAAAAACGAGAUUAGCCUCAUUCUACAACAUACAUAGUCUAUCUUAAAAAAGUUUCAGCUUCUUCAAGAUCCCAAAACGUUCUUGCUAUAACCAUACAAGAUCACAUUCGACCCAACUUUCAAAACAUAACAUCAAGCUCUAGUGAUUAAAGCUAAACAAGUAAAUCUAGGGAAUGAUUUGAUCCAAAAAGAUCCCAAAAACCUAUAGAAAGUCUCUCUAUGAACACAUAUCAAAACGUUCUCAGCAUUCUGAGAUUCAAGUUGCAGAGCUACAAAUGCAGGACACAAACCGUUCCUUAAAAACUCACCGCACUGUCCAAUACCAAUAACGAGCUUCCGAGCAGAAGGGUGACGAUCAAACUCCCAUCUGUCACUGCAGUACUUGAACAGCUCCCAAAGUGCUAAACUUGCUAACAACCCCACCAAUGCAAGUGGCAUCUGAUACCUACAAAGAAACACCAACACUUCAAACUCCACAAAGUUCCUAACUUUUUACAAAGAUUCAGACUUUAAACAAAAGAGAUAAAGAAACCCAUACAAUGCGCAAGCGAAGAAGACGAUGAACAACGUUGCGUAAUUCCUAGCGAAUCUCUUGAUGUUCUCAUGAACCCUCAUCCUCGCCUGCUGAGAAGACGCCGGGAACGAGUAGGAGUCGCACGCCCCGAAGAAACCGGUGGUCCACGGAGGCGUAUCGCCUGAGAAGUCGUCGGCGGAUAGCUUGGAGAAGGGGUUGAUAGUCAGAAGAGACAAAAGAGAGGCGAAGAAGCCGCCGGUAAUGGAGGAGACGACGUCGUCGGAGGCGGAAGAAGGUGCGGCGGCAGCUGAGGAGGAUGAGGAGGAGGCGGGGACGGCGGCUGCUGCUGCUGCGGCGGAGGUGCGGUGAUCGAGGAGGUCGAGGUAGCCGGAGUCACGGAGCCAAGAUUCGAAAGCAGGAUCGGGAACGCUUAGGGAGAGAGGGUUGGGAGAGAAGGCCAUUUGUUGUUAGUUGUGGUCGUCGUCACGAUUAUCUUGUUCCGUCGUCUCCUCGGUGUUCACAAAACAUUUAUUUUGUCUUUUACAUAUAUUAGUCCAUAACUUCUUCGCAAUUGCUGAAGUAGUGCUCUUUGAUAAAAUCUUGUUAAUUAGCUCCUACAGUUUUGUUUUAUGCAACAAAUGAUUUGCUUCUCUAAAAUACAUAUUAUUGAAUACAUGUAUAUUGUUUUAAACAUUUCAUUUCAUUAGUUAAAAGUAUUUUAUGUUAAAAAGUAACUUUAGAGCAUCAUUAACCCAAAAACUCACUCUGGGUCUCUUAAUGAUUUUUAAAUAUUAAAUGUUACUUAGGAGAUCCAGUUAAGAGACAUCAACAUUUUUAUGCUCCAAUGGGAGUCUCUUAUUUAGGGAUUCUUAAAAAAAAACAUUGUUUUUGAUUAUUGUAUAAUUUGUGAUCAAAAUGUAUGAAUUUGUGAUAAAAAUGUAUAAAAUUUUUUUGAUUAUUUUCUGAACAUGAGAAGAAUGGUAAGAGAAGAAAAGUUAUCUGUAUUGUAAGAUGCACGAGAAGAAAAGUUAUCAUGUAGAGAAUGGAGACACAGAUGUUGCAGGCUCCUCAGCUAUGGUUGGUUUCUUUGGAGGCACCGAGAGAGAUCCUCAAGGAAAGGUCCUUUAGCAGUAGGCACAUACACAGUUGCUAUGAGGAUAGUUCGAUUCUAUCACCACCAGCCACAAACUCUUCAUGGACGGCAAGUUCUCAUCUUUGUUGCAUUUAUCUGUAGCAAAUAUCAAGACAAAAGAUUAAAUAUGAGAAAUAUGGAUUAGGCAAAGCACUAAACUAAUCUUCACCUUUCGGUUUCCCGUAAUCAAAAACGAACAUCAAAAGAGCAUUAGCUCUCACACGUUGAAAAAUGUUCAUACCAUAAGCUAAACCAUGCUAACACUCCAUCCUCUAACCAAGCUAGACAAAAUGAUGGUAAGAUUCCAUUCUCUAUAGAAAGCUUCUCCAUUUUAUCAACCAUCCCAAUCUCGUUGUUUGUGAUCAAAGAAACAGAAGCACCAAAGCAAAAAAUCUAAUCCCACAUGAACUAACCAACCAACCAUAACAACCAUAAGCAAGCCUGCAUCACACCAAACCACCCAAUAACCUCAGAUAAAUAAAGCUGUCACAAGGACUUACGUUUUGGCUGUUCCUAUAAGAAUCAAGUGAUUAAAUGAGCCUGAUCUGCUGCUAUCACCAUUCUCUGACUCUACUACUACUACUGCUGCUACCCCUUUCUCAGGGUCUUUAUCACCAAACUUCUCACUAAUAGAGGGAUAUCCAUUGACCUCUCCGUUGGUUGAUGAAACCUCGUCGGCUCUAAUCUCUUUGAUCUCUUCCUAAACCUCUGCUUUAUCCACCUGAAAAGGACAAAGAACCAAAGAGUUUAGAACUCAAGAACACUCAACAAUCUUUUGUAAACAAAGAAGAGACAAUCAGAGUAACCAACUAACCAAAGCCGAGAGAAACUCAAAAGCUUAUACCAAAAGAUGGAGCCAUAUCCGAUUAUAAAGUUCAAAUUGGAAAGGAACAAGUAAAAAGGACAAGAACUUGAACAGAGACUAAAGGAGAAAUCAGAUUCAUACAAACAAGCAUUGUGUCUAAACCCCAGAGUUUCAGUUCUCAGACCACUCGCCAGAUAAACGUUAAGCUGGAAAGAAAACUAACCAUAUAUCUAACACCAAUUCAGAUCGGAAUCAGGUUUGGGAUGGCCUUGUGGAUUCAUCAUCGGGAGAGAGACAGAGACGAAGAGAUGCAGACGAAGAGAGGAAGAGAAAAGACGAGACUGCCAAUUUUUUUCAUAGCGACACGUGUCUUAAGACACGUCUCUUCUAUGCCUUAAUUAAGAGACGUCUGCUGUGGUAAUUAUGAUUUUUUUUUUUUUUAAAUCACAAUUACAUUAAGAGACCUAUCUAAGAGACACGGUUAAUCUUGCUCUUACAUGGUUCCCAAAAGCAACACUAGAAUUUUAAAUUUUAAAUUUUUGAAUAGUAAAACAUCAAAUAUAUGAUUUCACUGUUCAAAACUUCAUAUUUAAAAAUUUCAUAUUUUUAGUCAAAUGUAUUUAUAUAUCUUCUAGAUUAUUUUAUUAACUUUCUUGUUUUAUCAUUCUAAUCGUUAAAAAUUUACUACAAGAAAAUGCUCAAUUCCCAAAAAAAAAAUUAACUUGUAAUAAUUUACAAAAAAAAGGAAGUUCAUAUAUCAUUUUGAAAUGUUUUAAUUGAUUAUAUAUGAAAACAAUGGAAAUAUUUAUAAUGAAUAAAUAUGUAAGUUUUACUAUAAUAUAAUUUUUAAUAAUUGGUUAAUUGUAUAUUUUAUUGUUAUUAUAGCUGAACCAUAAAACCAUAUAAGGCACAACAAGUUAUGUGCUUUGGCUACAGGUUUAAACAGGUGGAAAGGAUCAUAUUCAUAAUCAAACUCACAUUGAAUUUACAAGAGGGGGGCAAAACACAAUGCAGAUAGUAUUGACAAUAUAAAAGUGAUUAUGAACACACGAAUUAUAGUGUGAGAAACACUUGCAGACAAACAUGGACUUUUAAUAUUUGGAAAUAAAAAAAAUCAAAGAAUCACAAGAGGCGCCUCAUCGGUUUUGGCAGGUGCAGUCUCUUGUGUUGGUGGCGUAGUCUCAGAAGGAACUUGCUCAUCUGCCUUCACAGCUUCUGGAGUUGGCUCGGCUUUGGUUGCCUCAGAGGAGUCCUCUUUUGUCUCACCUUCCUUCUUUGCCUCAUCAUUAGACUCUUCUUUCUUCUCCUGUGAAUCAAACAUAUCAUAAACAAUAGUCUUAAGAGGACUGAUUUUCAAGCUAUGAUUAUACCAAAAAAAGUCUCAAAGAAGAAAUCAAAUCAUAUCGAACAGAGAAAAUAAAUGAUACAAAUGGGAUUCACAAAACCUGAACUAAAGUGGUAUCUGUUUCAUUCUUGGACUCAAUAACAACAUUGUCGGUGGGGACAAGGCUUUCGACGAUGUCAGAUUCCUUAGGUUUGCUCCCACAGGCUCCCAUGGUUUAUUUGAUUGAAAGGAUUAGUUUGAAAAACAAUUACAAUGUGAAGAACCGUGGAGCAAAAAAAAUACUAGAUGAGAGGAGAAAAGAGAACUACUCGAGAAAAUAAGAGAUGCCAAACUAAUUUCUUGCUUUAUAUAAUUGGAGCCUGAGCAAAUGGAAAGGCCUGUGAAGAGAUAAAUAUAGGAGAUGGUAUAUGGACUAAGCUAUUUCAGGUAAAGCCAGAUUCAUUAGUCAUGACAUCUUCAAAUCUCUGUCACAGUCGAUUUACCCAGAGGACAACCAUUUUUCUCCACUGUUCUCUUAUGUUCGGUUAAGGGGCAACGGUUUCUUUUCCCGCUGGAAAUUUCCAAACUAACAAAGGAAUGAGUCACAGAUAACCAGACUUUCAUAUGUAAUUGUUAAGACCAAAUCAUGUGGGAAAACAUUUGGAUGUUCAGAUAUGUUUCCUAUUUGCCAAAUGUCAUAAUAUGAUAUUCAAGCCCUUCAAACGGGGACGACGACAGUGUCUCAUUUUUUUUAAACUGGAAAAGAUGAAUUUUCUGUUCUCUCAGGCACACACAUAGAAAUCUCUCAUUCUUUGUUUGGCUGGCUACUAUGGCUCCUCAGUGCGACUCUGAAGAGAAAAUACUGGUCCACCGGUGUGACCUGGUUUCUCUGUUUCGAAUGUUGUUGAGCCUGAUUGGUUUUUGGAGCCUUCUGAUAUCUCUUUCUCACCUAUGUCUUCCCAGUCACCUUCCAUUGCUGAUGUUUCUUGGUGUUCACUCUUUGGACCUUGGUUGACAAGGCUUUUGUACAUUGUUAAAGCUUGAGCAAUCAUGCUUGCAGGAUUUGAAGCUGUACUUGGAAGCAACAUUGUCGUACCCUAAACCCCCAAAAAAGAAGAAAAAAAAAGCACACUCAACAUUAGAUAAGCCCAAGCAAUGCCAAAAUAUUUUAUAUGAGAUUUGUUUGUUUACCUCCUUGGCAAUGUUACUGAAGGCUUGAAUGUAUUGCUCUGCAACUCUCAAACUCGCAGCCUGCAAAUUGAACAGUGAUGAAGUAUAAGAUCACAUCUGGACGGCUAAAAAUACAAGCUUAAACCCAAGAACACGGAAACCUAUGUCUAGAGUGAAUAAUAAAAAAACUAUGAAGAAUUAAGUAACCAAGCUAGGUUCCUUAAAGCUCACCUCUACUCCCCCAGUUUCUUUGAGAGACUGAGAUAACAUGGCAAGGCCUCUAGCAGUUGCUUCUGCUCUAGCGAGUAUUGCUUCAGCCUCACCUGAAGAGCAUUAUCAAAGGAUAAUAUAAGAGUGAGCAUGAGCCGUGGAGAAAACAGUUCCUCUGGGCACCAAGUAGCCAUCAGUAUAUAUUGAAAGAAUAAGAAAAUGGAACUAAGAAUUCUUCUAAUGAACCCAACUAACAGUUGACAUCACAAGUUACUCUAAUGUAUACUAACCUUGUGCUCGAUUCACUUGGUCCAUCUUUGCAGCUUCAGAUGCCAAGAUUACAGAACUUUUCUUACCAUCAGCAAUAUUGAUAUGGGCUUGCCUUUCUCCUGUUAUAUAUAGCAAAACAAAGGAUUAAAAGAUGUUAAGCAGGCUUCUUGUCUUUCAAAUGCAAAAUGGAAAACCCAAAAAGAAGAAGAAGAUUUUAGCCAAGAAUAGUUUCGGCAUUAUGAGCUGUUCAAUCACAGAAUAUGACUUAUGAAGUACAAGUCAAAGCAGUAUUACCUUCAGACUCAAGAAUCUGGGCUCUCUUUUUACGUUCAGCUUCAGCUUGCAUCUCCAUAGCAACCCUCACGCCAUGAGGGGGCAUAAUAUCCCCUGGAGAUACACGAAUUAUAAAUAAGCAGAAAAGGAUAUGUAGGUAAUCACCAACAAAGAAAAAACAGAGAAGAACUCACUUAUCUCAUAACGAAGACACUGAAGACCCCAGUCUCUUGCAGCAACAUUGAUGGCUUCCUGCAAGAAUGUAAAACCGUCUAAAAAAUUCCAUCACAUGUGUUCUUCUUCAAUGUGUAUAUUUCCUCUAAGCUCUCUUAGUUAUUUGGAUUAGAGAGGUAACACAACUUGGGAUAUUGAACAUAUACAACAUGAGUAAAGUCUUUAGCUUUGAAUCUAAAGUCCUUCAACUUAGCUCAAGUAGAAUCCAAAAACAUUGCCAAAGGUGAUUACAUUUUACAACUAAACAUCCCAAGGCUGCAAAGUUCUAUAGAGAAUAAUAACAGCAAGAAAUUUAAUCAAGCUAACGUGACUUGAGUUUGGGAGAUUUCAAGAUUCUUUGAAAUGCAAUGGAACUGAAGUAUAAAGUGAGUUAAGUAAGCAGAGGGGAACGAACCACAAUCUUCUCGUUGAGAGUAUCUCGUUCCUCAAAGGUCUUAUCAAGCGUGAUCUUACCAAGCUCACUACGCAUGGUGGUCUGAGCCAGCUGAACAACAGCAUAGAUAGGACUCUCAACGCCAUAAGACGCUAACUUAGGAUCCACUAUCUGCAAAACACACAACAAAAAGAAAUAAAUCAAAACUAUAUAAAAAAAAGCAAGUAAAACCACCAACAAAUGAAGUGGUAGAAGAUGACCUUGACAUAGAGAACGCCGUCGAUGUGUAUGCUAACAUUGUCUUUAGUAAUCGCAGUCUGAUUAGGAAUAGGGAUCGCUUCUUCCUUGAGGGAAUGAACAUAAGCAAUUCGAUCAACGAAAGGAAUCAAGAAGUGAAUCCCCGACGGUAACGUCUUGGCGAAUUUCCCGAAUCGCUCAAUCACAAAGGCCUUCUUCUCCGGUACAAUCCGGACUCCCCAGUUCACCGGCGGAGUUAACUGAAAGCUACAAUGAUAAUAUAUAAAUAUAAUAAAUCAAUCCCCAACUCAAAUCUCAAUUCAGAAAUGAUAAUGCCUCAAACAUCGUUCGCAUGUAGACGAAAUCAUCCUAAGCUGAAAAAAAACCUGUUGGAAGGAUAGCCGGCGGAGGUGAACUGGCGGACGGUUGAUACGGCGGAGGAAGAUUGCCGGAGGUAACCAACGGAUCUCAUGGCGGUGGCGGAACUUUUACGGAGGAGGUGAUUCAUCAUCAUCAAUCAGAGAAUGAAGAAACUGGGGAAAAACCCUUUGGAAGCAAAACCUCGUCGUGGACCAAACAAGGCGUCGUCCCGCAGUUUUCGUGGAGAGGAGCAAAUGUGAAAUGGGUUUGAUUAGUAGUUUGCUAGCUGUUGCUAUUGGGCUCAGAACUAGCCCAAUUGUAAACCAAAGUUUUGCAAUUUUGUUACGGUUUGAUAUUAUAUAGUUUUCUUAUGUUCAUUUCAUUGAUUCUGCCUUGUGUGCACUGUGCGAUAGUCUAAUAAGGACAUAAUAGUUUUUUUUUUUAAAUAUAAAUAUUUAUUAAUCUACCCGAGAAUCGGGAAUUUCAGAUCCAGUUACAAACCCGUUUCGAACAAAAUUUCCAAAAUCAACCUAUUACAACACUAGCUUCGCCCGCCCAUUAAACCCGGCACAUUCCGCUAGUCCAUUUAUCGGUUUCCUUUGAAAUCGGUUGCCGUUCUCUACCAUCAACGAGAAUCAAGAGAAGGUGAGGUUCUCCUUGUUGCCUCGGAUGUCGGGACUUCCCGUGUCGUCUCUUCCGAUGAACUCCACCGAGUUUGUAACCAUUACUGACAAUGAAGCGCGAGACAACUAAUAGGGGAGUGUUUCGGAUACUUACCACGAGCUUUGCAAGCCACCAAAGCCGAGCUUGUACGCAACGUCACACAACGCUUGAAACCAUCUCCCAACCCGAGCAAGAGCUCGCUACUGCCGCCACCAAACCUGUACUACCAAAAGGGCCGGACCUCCAUGCCACACACCGACCGAGAAGACUCUAACGACUAGCACAAAUGUCAGCCAAGCAACACUACCGAUGAAGAAUCAAAUGAUCUUCUCUGGUACUGGGAUGUGAGCUAAGCACAAGAGGGACACCGCCGCGACCAUGACGAAAGUCGGGACGUCCCUUGCCGCCUUCGAAAACCGAAGAAGCAGUGACUGUAACUCGCAAAAUAACCACCGGUGUCUACGGUGAUAUGAAUAGAGCUCAAGAGAACAACCUUAGAAUAAGAAACUGCCACAACCAAACCAAGGAUAGUUGCUAAGUACAAGAAGGAGAGAAUAGUUGUUCUUAUGCUUGUUAAGUUUCCUGUGUCUAUAUGUACAAUUUGCAUAAAUAUUAUUCAAGUGUCAAUCUUAUCAAAUUGCAUUUUUUUUAGGUUCUCAAGGACAUAUGUUACCUUAGGGCUCGGUUUCUUUGUUCUCUUAGUUAUAUACUUACUCCUCUGUUCAUAAAAGAUAAAUGUUUCAAAAUAAAAUUUUAUUUUUGGAAAAAUGUAUGUUUAAAAUUUUUUUAUGCAAUUUUUAUUAGUCAUUAUAAAUGGGGAACUGUAAAUUUCAAAAACUUAUUUAUACCUUUUGAAAUACUAUUAGUUUUAUAAUUAUGGAAAACUGAUAAAUAUAUAAGAUAAUAUAUUAAUUAACAAAAUUUAUUAAAAAAUUUAUGGGUGUAAAAACACAAAAACAUAUAUCUUUUCCUAAAAGAUGGAGUAUUUUCUUUGUUGUUAAAGACCUUUUCUAUGAGUUGCCAUAGUAGCCUUAAAAUGUGGUGCGGAGUUAUACCAAAUUUCAAGAACCAUCAAAUUAGUGAACGUAUUAAACUAAGAGAAAAAAAAAUCAAACCUGAGUAGUAUUUCUAAUUUUCUAAAAAAGAGUUAUCAACCAAUGUUCUUGAUUAUCUAAAACACUUCUUCGUGUGUUUAUAUGAGUUAUAUUAUCUAUGUUGGAAAGCUAAUUUAAUUUCAGAAUGCAUGGAAAAAGUGAAGUUUAUAAUGGAUUUCACAUGGUGAGGCCUCUGUCUGAGUCAUCAAGAUCGGCGCCGUUCGACUUUAAUUAAGAUACCGCGUCAAGAGAAAAAAAAAGAAGGCAAUAGUUAAAGUUUGGUAAUGAGUCUAAUGACAAACCUCAUUUCCACCUUUCAAACAUGUCCACUCUUCAUUAUGCAUCCACGUCAAUCCCAUGCAUCAACCCUUUACGUGUCUUAGAAUAAUAUUUUAGAUAGUAGAAGUUUCAGGUUUGCUUGGAUGAGUCAUUUCACAUAUGUGCUAGAUUCCAACCGGAAAUGUACGUAGAUCUAUUCCCAAGAUUUUUUACGGUCUUGCUCCAUGAGUUCCACACUCAUAGUACUGAAACAAUAGUAAACAGCCAUGCAUGUGUGUUUUGGGGCAAUGCUAUUAGACCAACACAUCUUCCAUUGAGUUAAUUAAAAUAAAAACUCUUAUAAUUUACAUAUGAUGAACAAAAAAAUCAAAUGCAUGUAUGAAAAGGAGAGUUGAUCAUGAGAGCCAGCGGUAUGGAACUUUAAAGAAGUAUAUGUUGGUGAUUAGUCUGAAAUAGAAAGGGGAUAGAAAACUCGCACGUUCGUUUUCUUGACAUUUGUUUUAUAAUAUGAGACUUUGGAUUUUUUGGCGGAAUCGAUUCUUGAAGCAUUCUUUUAUGUUUUCCUGGUAGAUUUGGUUUUGGCUUCAUACGGUGGCAAGACAAUUGAUAUUUUUUGCCAGAAUAUUCUUCUGAAAAUAUAUUUUGGGUAAUAUUCUUGUUUUGUACAUAAUUUUUAUUCAAAUACUUUUAGCCUUAGAGAAAGCAACAAUAUUGGUUAGAAAACCAUCUAGAGUAGAAACUUUAGAAAUACAUCUUUGUAGUGUUGGAGAAGAAAAACGGCUUUUUAUGUUAACGUCGAGUAUUUUAAUUCUUCAUAUUCUCUUGUUUUGUUUUUUUUUUUGAGCAAAUUUCUCUUGUUUUGUUAUUCGUGUGUAUUAGUACUAAAAAGACAUGAUAAAAUUCUCCGGUCUAGUUUGAAUUUUUGUAACCAGUUGAUAAUUUACAUCUUUAUCACUCUGAUUAGUGUUAAGUGUUUGUUGCUUUUGAUCUCAACCUAAUCUGAUUCUACACUGCUACCGUAAUGUCAAAAAAAUAUUGGAAUAUUUUUUCUCUGUAACACAUCAGAUUCAAAAGGCAAAGAUUUUUCAAUAUUUGAGCCAAAAACAAUGAGAUUUUCGACGUUGUACGUAAAAAGCUCAUAAUGGGCCCAAAUCUCCAAUCUCGAAGGUUGCCGGGAUGUCUACAACAACCGCCGUCAGAUCUACUGGAUGUUCAUCAUCAGAAGUUAGAUUGCCAUAAUUCAACUCUUGAGUUACCACCGCAGGUUCAACCGGACUAUAGCGCCUAGAGAUUAGGGAGCUCGGCUCGUUAGUUUGCAACAGACGUACUCUCGUUCUGCAUAUAGGACAAGUAGCGUGCGACUCAAGCCACGGGUCGAUGCAACGAGCGUGAAACCAAUGUUUACAGCUCGGUAAAAACUUGGCUUUGUCUCCGUCAGCGAGCUCAAAGAGGCAAACGACACAUUUAACACCGUCCCUUGCGUUCCUAGAGUUGAAAUCUACGACGGGGAUUGAUCGGAGGAGGACAGAGGGAUUAACACCAGCCAACUCCUUGAUGUUGAUAAUGACAUGGUCAUCGCUGGUACCAAUACCAUGAUCUUGAUGAUCAUUCUCGUCGUUAUCAUCAACAACAAAAUAGCGUUCAUACAACAGUCCAAGGAACCCAACCAAAACUAGAACGAUACCAAUCAAGAAAUCUGUAUGAUCACCACUAAGAGAACCGUCAUACAGUUGAGUUGAUCCAAGCAUAAAAAUAUAGUAAACAUACAGAGGUAUUUUAUUGUGGUUCAUCUUCGAAUCCCACAAAGCAAUAGAUGUGUUUUCUUUACAGAAUAGCGGAAGGGGAAAGGAUAAUAAAAUUUAAUUGAGAAGUACUAGUGAUUUUGAUUAGUUUUCUAUCAUGAACAUACAGACAUGUAUUUAUAGGUUAACUCCUACCGUUAUUCUUAAAAGGAAAACUUACUAAACUUGAAUCAAUUAAAAAGGUAAAAGUAAGUAAUUUCCUUAUUUGAAAUCGUUAACCAAACCAUAACCAUAAAGACGGAUUUGGGUUUGACUGGCCUUAAGAAAACGUGACCUUAACUUCGUAAACUUGUGAAAACAUGACUUUAGAUAUUCUAAUUCUUUUUUGGACUCUAUGUGUCUAAAUUUACAACAAAAGCUUUUAUAUAUAGAUACUAAGAAUUGCAGAAAAAAUAUUUUUUAAUAUAAUAUUUUUAUCUUAAGAGAAAAUUUUAAUUUACAUGCGGACAUCAUUUUUUUUAUAUUUAGACUUCAAUGGAUUGAGAAAAGAUCAUUAAUGUAUUUUGUAGUCUUAUUUCUUUUGAUUUAGUUUAAUUAUUUUAAUAUGAUUUUAUUUAAAUUUUAGAAAAAUUAAAAUUAGAAUUCAUAGAACUAAUUUUUAUUUAUAUUAUUUUAUGUUUAAUGAUUAUUUAUUAUAUAUAAUAUAUAUAUAUAUAUAUAUCUUUAUCACCUAUUAUAUAUAUAUAUAUAUUUAUAUUUAAAUAUAUUCUAAGAAAUUUUGGAUUUUUGUUUGUUUUAGUCAAAGUAUGUUAAACCGAGAAAAAUCAAUUUGUUAAUAACUCAAUGAACCGAUAAAUUUAAAUAAAAUUUUACUCAUUUACAUAUAAUUUUUGUUUUUUUUACUAGUGUUGUUUUAGUUUUGUAUUUGUUGAUGCACACUUACAAUUAGUUUCAGUAAAAUAUAUAUAUAUAUAUUUAUACAAAAUAUGAUAUAUAAGUUCGUGUAAAAACUUAUAUUCGUAACUAUAUUUAAUAUUCAGCUUAUUUUUUAUUAAUGUGAUAUAUAUAUAUAUAUUAAUUUAAUAAUGAUAUAUGAGUUAUUUGUUAUUAAUAUAGUUUAAUAGUCGUGAUAAAAAAUAUAGUUUAAUAGUUUUGUCAAAAAAUAAAUAUUUAUAUAGAAAAUUUACAUUAAUGAUAUAGGAGUUAAUAGCUAUUACCAUUUUGAAGAAAACUUACAGAAAAAUAUAUAAACUUUAUAAGAAAAAUUGUACAUGUCACAAUUAUGUUAGUAUCAUGUCACAUGUUUCAAAGUCAUGUCAUAUUUUGUUGAAAUUGAAUGUAGUAAUGCACAUGCAAACUGCUCAACAAAUAAUGUCUAACAAAUAAUGUCUAGGGGAUAUAUAGCUAGUGUCAAUGUGUGUUAUGAAUGCUUCUACAGGCCAAAUAGCAUAUAUGAGUCUAUGACUGAACCAGACAUUCGACCGGCACUCUCAUAAGAUUUGGCGUAAACUACAAGGAUUUUUUUGUAGAUAAUGGAAUAUGGUUUAUGGCUCUAACCUUAAGCUACGUGAAUUAGGAUCAUCUAACCACUUGAAAUAACCACAAUACUAGACUAACAAACAUGUUAUACAUUGUCACUUAAGAUAACGUUAUCGAUCUAUCUAGAGAAAAAAAACAGUUUUUAAAGAAAUAAACAUGUAUAUCGAUCUAUCUAGAGAAAAAGGCAGUUUUUAAAGAAAUAAUUUGAUUUUAUAUUGGUCAGGUUUCAAAAGAUUCAAGUCUAAGUUUUCUUUAUGUGGGGAUAAAGGAAAAGAGGAACAUACAACAUGGGAUCCAAAGUCCAAAGAAAGGUCUUUAUGGUGAAAGCUUAUUGACAAAGAAAAAAAGUGGUGACACACUUUACACUAAAUCCAAGUCAUUAGAUCUUAAAGAGCUUACAACAUGACGACAUCAACAACAUGCACCUCAUGAUCUCUUCUGCUCCUCUGCAUCUAACCCCAGUUACUGUCGUCAAUGUAAAUACAUGUACCGCAUAUUCAUACAUAUGUGUGUGUAUCUCUUUCUCUCUCUAUAUAUAUAUCUAAGUGUGCAUGGUUCGAGUUAGAAACUGGAAAUCUAUUAAAACACAUAUAAGCUAUAAUGGGUGAUCUGCAAAUCGUGCCAGCAUACAACAAGGUGGAAGCACAAUACGUAGAAAUGAUGGUGCCAUUGUACUCUUACGGUUGUGAGAAGAAAAUUAAAAAGGCUCUUUCUCAUCUCAAAGGUAACUAAUCAAUAGUUACUAAUGAUUUAAAUUCCAUGUUAUGUAGAAGAAGCUUUUAUUUAUUGUGUAUAACUUAUUAAACAGGAAUAUAUUCAGUGAAAGUAGACUACUACAAACAGAAGGUGACUGUUUGGGGGAUAUGCAACAAGCUUGAUGUGUUAGCAAUGGUCAAAAAGAAGCGUAAAGAAGCUCGUUUUUGGAAUGCUGAGGAGAAUGAUCAAGAGAGCGUGGAUGACUCCAUCGUCCAGAAAGAAGACACUGUUAAAACUUCGUCUGAUUCAGAUAAAUCAUCGGCGUUCUAUACGUAUUCACCGUCGUCUCCGAGGUUUAAGAGACCUCCUUUGUCACUCAUUAGAACAUCUUCCUUCACAUGGAAAGCUGUGAAGAAGGUCUUCUCUAGAUCCAUUUCCUUUUGAAUCACAUUUUCUUCUUAUAUGAACCUAAUAAUGGUACAAGAAGUCACGUAUCUGUCAGUGUAUAAAUAUCAAAUAUUGUAGUUGAAAACACUCGUCAGCAACCAAUAUUUGAUGGUAGUUCAGUGGUCAUGGCUUUGUUCGUCUAUUAUAUGUUUAAAAUCUAUGUUUCUAGACAUGUUUCUUUCCUACUAUAUAUAAAAUAAGCAGUUCUAGUUGAUAAGAGCGCAGCUAUAGUGUCUCAGCGAUCAUUUUGUUGUUUCAUGGUCAAAUAUCAUUUUUUGUGGAACAAAACUUGUAUCAUCCCAGUUGUGGUAAAUAUAGAAUGAAUUAAAAAUUAAUUUAGCUACUUAUAUUAAUAAAUUGCAUAUUUCUUUUUGAACACACAUCCAAUAAACUUCAAUAAAAUUCUAGAAUUAAAUGUUUUUGAGUUAAAGUAGUCAAAUGAAGAGUGACCUAUUAUGAAUUGAUUCGUGAUAUUUGGAAAAGAUCAUAUGUAGCUAUUUUCAGAGAUUAACAUAUCUCUCUUUGCAUAAAAUGGAAUACACGGACUAAGUAAGUGGGCGUGGAAAACCUAUUAGCCCUAAAAACUGUUAACUUUAGUCAAAAAUGUAAAUAUAUUUGGUAUGUCGACAUAUAUAUAUGUAUGUAAAUGAAGAAAUCUUCUUGGUUUAGCAUUAUCUUUUUGUGAGUAACUGAUUAACACUGGAAGUGGAAGCUGUUAACUUUAGUUAAAAAUGACGAUAGUUUUAAAAAUCUUGUUUGAAAUGUUCAAAAAUGAUGAUAAUAGUAUAGUUUAACAUCAAUAUCCUGUCAUCAUGAGGUGUGUUGAUUCUGUUUGCACCUAAUCUUUAUACCUUUUCGGAAAGUUAAUCAUGUGAUCGAAAGAUGGUUUUUUCUCAAGAAAAGAUACAAUUACGAAUGAAGUUAAGUAACAAAAUCAAAAUCAUAUUUAUUCAUUUAUCCUUAAUCAUUAUGAUUUGUAAAUUUAGAACGCACGUCAAAAUUGGGGUUAGUUAAAGACUUUUAUUCGUUUACUUUAUCGUCUCUUAGAUGAGAUUUCCCUUUCCCAUAUAAAUCAAAUUGUUGGUUCAGCUGUUGAUCGUUUGAUGGGAACAUAAAAUAUUGUAUAGUUUUGACUUUCGAGUUCAUGAAGCAUUCAUUAUCAUUUUGGAAUUUGAUCGUUUUAAUUAGGCGAAUCAUGAAACUUCAAGUAUAACUUUUGUUGCGCAAGUUUUAAGUCCAUUAAGAUAAUUGUCUUAAGAUAACUAACUAUGGGCCCAACGGUUCAGAAAGAAAGAGAGGCCCAUUUCUACUGAAGUAAUAUAUCAUUUCUCCCACAUCGCUAAGCCGAAAAGAAGACGCUGUAUUUAUAUAGCAACAUAGUCACGAAGGUGAUUGUCCCUUCGGGGAUAUCCGAUAAAAUUGGAACGAUACAGAGAAGAUUAGCAUGGCCCCUGCGCAAGGAUGACACGCACAAAUCGAGAAAUGGUCCAAAUUUUUUUUUUCUUAAAAUUUUCAAAAUCGAUUUCGUCUUCUGAGUUUAGGGUUCUUCGAUUUCUUUUUUUUUUGGCAUGCAAAACCUCUGUUCUCGAUGAAUAAAGCAGUCAAAUCAGUUCGUUGCUGGAGAUCCGAUGGUCGGAAACGAUGUUCUACGCCUCUGUUAUUUUAUUUAGAAAUCCCGGCGUCAAUGUGUGAACUAAAUUCAUCCGGUUAAAAAGAAAAUAAAAUUCAUCCGGUUUGUUAAUCGGUUCAAAUAAGCGGUCAGAUCUGAAUCAUGUGCAUUUUAGCUCUGAAAGCUAAACCGGGAAGCUGUGGAAGUGAUACAGAGCUUUCAGCAUUUUCCAGUGAUGUUUGAUGCAAUAUGUAACACGGUUUUCAAGACCUUCGUUACGGCUCCAAUUCAAUGUUAACCGGAGAAGUAUAGACCAAAACUAAAACCAAUUUGAUUUCAGGAUGGAUAUGGUUUGAAUACUCAAAGUCCUAAUCAGUUUUAAGACGAUGACACAGUUAGGCUGAAAACUUAUGAACAAUUCGGUGAUAAAUCCUAUAAGUUUCAUACUCUGUUGGAAACACUUUGCGUAUAUAUAAAUGUUGUGAAUAAAGGCUUAUAUACAAAAAAUGUUACAUACAACAAAUAUUCCAAAUGUUUCCACUAAACGAAAAAAAAGAUGAUUACAAGUCAUUUGCAAAAGCACCACUGCUACAUAGAAACAAAAGAAUCAUUGUGGAUCAAGACCCAACAUCAGUUCGAACACCAGAACUUUUGAUAAGGAACUCAUGUGACCUUGCCAGCCUAACCGCGUCUUGAACCCUUAGCCUGGUUCCUUGUUGGCCCACCACGGUGGCUGCAAUCGUAGCUGCCAAGUCUCCCAUUCCUUUCAAGUCAGUGACACCUCUCAAGAUACCGUAUAAGAUCCCCGAAGCGUAAGCAUCUCCAGCGCCGCACGUGUCUACUGGCACGCACGUGGAUGGAGGAAUGUAUAUGGCUUCUCCUUUAACUCCAAUGUAUGACCCGUUGAUUCCGUCGGUCACUGAAACAAAUGGGACAAAGUGGCUCAAGUACCUUGUCGCUGAGAUUGGGCUUUCGUCUGCGGAGAAGUGACAGAACGCUCUUGCUUCAUCGCUGUUGGCAAAUAUAAUAUCUGCAUAGUUGCCCACAAUGUCCCUGAAUCAAACAACAAGUUCACCAAUUUAGAUUCUAGCUACAAGAGCAAAUAUACACAAGAAUGGAUAGAAGGAGUAAAAAGCUCACCAGAAAUCAUCGUAAUGCCUUUCUAUGCAAGACACAUCUGAUGCAGUCACAGCAACAAGUGCUCCGUUUCUGUGGGCUUCUUCGCAGGCUUUUGUGAUGGUUCUAAUAGUAUCAGGAAGCUCAAACAGAUAGCCUUCCACGACAAAGACAUUUGUUUUGGAUAUCAAACUAGCCAAGCAAGAAUCAUAAUUAACGACUGAAGAUGUUCCCUGAAGAUUAAUGUUGUUUAGUAAUACGCAGCAAACAUUUGGAUACUCAACGUGUUGCAAUAAGAAAUGGUACCUGAUAGGCAAGCAUAGUACGUUGUGCGUCAGGAGUGGUGAGAACAAUCACUGUUCCGGUUGUUCCAUCCAUGAUUGGAGCAGAUAGAAAAUUUACAUUUGCUCGUCGUAGUUUAGUCCUAUAGAACACAAGAUGGACUGCCCUUGUUAGUAAUUUAAACCAAACACAAGUUAAAAAAAAAGAAGAAUCAUAAGAACUAACCCCUUUAGAUCAAUACACAAUCUGAACAAACUAUAGUCUACUCUAGUUAAUCUAAUGAUAGACAUAGAGGUCCACCACUUAUGCCAAUUACCAAAAUGUGAAACUGAUCAUCAGUUCCAUGGAAUGAUUUGAUAGUCUAUAUUACUAACAUAAUAUAACCUUCACUUCCAACAAUGAAGAGAAGAAGAAGGAGAUGUGUAUACUUGGUUGAAGAGAAAGUUGUGUACCUGUAAAAGCUACCGAGAGGGUCACCUGCAAUACUGCCAGCCAUAGCGACAUUCAAAGGCCGGUCACUGAUGGAACGACAGCCUAAUCUAGCCAGAGCAACAAGAGUGUUGGACAAUGACCCUCCAGCAGCCGCCUUAUAGCUGCAGCCAUCCAUAGCUUGUAAGACUCUACCCCUCUCCUCGUGAUCUAUAAGCUUCCUCGUUCCCUUUUCUAAGCCUAGUUUCUUUAGGAAGUCAUCAUCCACAACUCCAGAGAAAUCUACCUAAAACACAACAGACAGAUAAAGCUAAAACUUUUAUUGUGUGUUCAAUGAUAUGUAGGCAGCAAAGAGAGAGAGAGAGAGAGACUAACCAUGGCUUGGCCGAGACCCAAGACAUCCCAUCUGUCAGGGGAAGAAGGUGAAUUAUCAUCAUGUCCUUCUACCAAUUCCUCGUCGUCCUCGUCUUGACCUCCGAUUCUCUCGAUUUCUCCUUCAUCGAAUUCUCCGUUUCUAGAAACCAUUUGCCUCUUCUUAUCCGCCGCCGUGGACUCAAUCCUCGCCGAGCCUCUGAAACCGCCGAAAAACGAGGUCGCGGUUCUGCUGCUUCCGAGGGUUCCUUUGGGGUGAUAUAAGGAGUAAAUAGAAGAGAGAAAGGAGGCAUUUUUAGGAGCGGGGAAGGCGGAGAGAGAGGCAGAGGAAGGAAUUGGAGAGAGGAGAGAAAGGGCCAUGGAUAUAUAUAUAUAUAUAUAUAGAGAGUAAAAAAAAGGUUUUCUCUUUCGUCUUUUUGGAAGAGGGGACGAAGAAGAAGAAGCUCACAUCCCCAUCCAGCACCCGAGAGGAAGGAACACCAGAAAGUAUGGUCUCUGCAACCUCUCUGAGGAGACCACGGCUUGAGAGGAUAAAAUUAUUUCUUCUUUUUUUUUAAUAUUUAAGGAUUAGUAAUCGUGUUAAGAACAAGUACUCUAUUUUUAUAAUGGUCUGAUUUUUGACUAUUCAAACUAAAUAUUCUGAAUCAGCAUUUUGACCAUUCCUUUUUCUUCUUUUUAUCCCCGAACUAUACAAUCUUUGCUUAACCUUGAAAUUUAAAAAGUUUAAGUCUUUAAACCCAACUUGACAUUUGUUUCUUCAAACUUGAUGCCGCCAUAUGCAUAUGUUUAGCAUUUGCUAAUUCUUUCUAAUUCACAAUAUCUUUUUGUACCACUCAUUUGUUUGUCUCCUUAUCUUAUCCGGUUAGUUGCCAUUUAUUUAUAGAGAAUUACACAAAAGGAAAAGAAGCAGCGAACUAUUCAUUCCCGCCGUAAAAAUCUUCAACUACUAACUUUCCUUUACAUCAAACAUCAAAACAGAGAUAAGGUCACAAAUAAAACAAAAUCAAGACAUUCCAAAACCAAAGCUGAAGCCAGAAAAACAAAAAAAUCUCUCUUAGAGUGAGCUACUCCAAAAGAUCUCUUAGGACACUGAUUCAUUUUUUUCGAUGAAACUGGAAAUACUAAAACCAAAAAGAAGCAGCAGAAGAGAAGCAAGUAUAUGCACAAUGCUCUAACUCUUAAACCUACAAUAAUAUGUUUGGGAGCUGUGAGUCCAAUCUCUGCUGCAACUCUUUCACCUUCUCUUGAAGCUCAAUCUUCUGCUCUUUAUAGCUCCUAAGCAGAUACUCUUUCCCGUCUAUCACUUCUUUAAGCUCACUCACUUCCUUUCUCAACCUCUCUAUUCUUUCUCCCUCCCUUGUUCCCUUCUCCGCUGACUCGUAAUUGUUCUCGCUCUCCAUAAACCCGUUCCAAGGUGCAACAGGAGAUGUCUUGCCAUUGCUCACGCUGUGAUCAGCUAUAGCUUUUCUCAGUCUCUCAACUUCUCUUUCCGAUUCGAACAGAUCUCUGUUCAUCGAGUCUAGCUGAGCCUGGAGGUGGCUUGAGUGUGACAUCUGCGCGUUGUACGAGUUUUGCAGCUCUAGAAUCUGUUCCUGCAUUUCCAGUAUCAUGUCGUCUCGCCUCUUCAGCUGUUGCCUCAGUUUCUGUAUUACUUCUCGUUUGCUGAAGAUGUCUGAGCUGGUUUCAGAUACGCAAGGUGAAUCCGAGCAGGUUGAAUGGUGAUUGUAUGGUCUCGGGGGAAGUUCCAGGCGAUCAGGAGAGGAAGUCCACAUGACUCCGUUCUCUUUGCUGUAUGAUGGAGCAGGAACCGUCACAAGAGGCAGUGAAUUGUCAGAUACAGAUACCAUUUGCUCGUUUGUCUCCGCUUUUCCUUCCACAUUCUCAGUUCCUGUGAAAAGAAAAAGCAAAGUCUGCUAAGUUCCGACUGCUCUCGACUGACUACAUGGAUAGAGGAAGGGGAUUCAGAGAUUUUGUAACUUGUGGCAUUCAGCAACUAGACACAGCCCUAGUGCCAGCCUCAUUGAUGCACGUUAAUGAUAGGUUGAAUCAGUACUUAAGCGAUGACAAAUCUUAUAGCUAAAUUUAAGCACUCUGCAACUUCAAAUUGGAAUACCUAGUUUCCAACCUCAUAUAUGAACAUCAAGUAUAUGUUCUCUAAUCAGCCUUCAAAGACAUCAUUAGGCAAAGAUCAUAGACGCUAGAACUAUGUAGUAUUUUCAUUUUAGUGGCUAACACAAAGAUGUAUAAGAAAAUUCAUCUGAAAGAAAGAAAAAAAAGAAGAAGAGAAAGUAACAAAGUCAGACCUGGAACGGAGCGGAAGCAGGAAUAAUCAUUAUUCUUUGCACAGGAAGACGUGUUGGAGGAGUGCAAACAACAACAACAUCUUUGCCUCUCAGAUGUUCCAUUGGCUGCACAACAAGCUUCCAUCAAGAUACAAAACAUAUGUGAAGAAGCAGCAACGGAGAGAGGUUAAAGCAAGUACCUUUAAAUCCAGGAGAGGCAUUAGACUGAUGAGAAGGUUUGAAGUGAGGCGACUGCUUAAGCUUGUAGCCAAAGCGAAUGGACAGAGUGCUCAACAAGGCUCCACCUGCGAUUAGGAUCCAAUUAGGCCCACCUUGACCACAAACUUUCUCAGCUCUCUG